GACGAACGCUGGCGGCGUGCUUAACACAUGCAAGUCGAACGGAAAGGCCCUGCUUUUGUGGGGUGCUCGAGUGGCGAACGGGUGAGUAACACGUGAGUAACCUGCCCUUGACUUUGGGAUAACUUCAGGAAACUGGGGCUAAUACCGGAUAGGAGCUCCUGCUGCAUGGUGGGGGUUGGAAAGUUUCGGCGGUUGGGGAUGGACUCGCGGCUUAUCAGCUUGUUGGUGGGGUAGUGGCUUACCAAGGCUUUGACGGGUAGCCGGCCUGAGAGGGUGACCGGCCCCAUUGGAAUGGGACAGCGGCCCGGCUCCCUCCGGGAGGGGGCGGGGGGGAUUAGUGCCAAGUGGCAGGAGCCCUAAACCAGCACCGCCGGGGCGGGGAUACGGGCCUUCGGUUUGAAAACCGCUUCCCCUUGACAGGAGACAUGAGUGACGGUAAGGGGUAAAGAAGCACCGGCUAACUACGUG
rnacentral:rRNA from 1 species